CCUACGGGUGGCAGCAGUCGAGAAUCAUUCACAAUGGGGGAAACCCUGAUGGUGCGACGCCGCGUGGGGGACUGAAGGUCUUCGGAUUGUAAACCCCUGUCAUAUGGGAGCAAAUUAACAAGAUAGUACCACAAGAGGAAGAGGCGACUAAAUCGGGGCCAGAAGCCGCGGUAAUACAGAGGUCUCAAGCGUUGUUCGGAAUCACUGGGCGUAAAGCGUGCGUAUGCUGUUUCGUAAGUCGUGUGUGAAAGGCCCGGGCUCAACCCCCGGACGGCACAUGAUACUGCGAGACUAGAGUACUGGUGGGGCAAGCGGAAUUCUCGGUGUAGCAGUGAAAUGCGGAGAUA
rnacentral:rRNA from 1 species